rnacentral:rRNA from 1 species
UACGGGGGGGGCAAGCGUUGUUCGGAAUUACUGGGCGUAAAGGGCUCGUAGGCGGCCAACUAAGUCAUACGUGAAAUCCCUCGGCUUAACCGGGGAACUGCGUCUGAUACUGGAUGGCUUGAGUUCGGGAGAGGGAUGCGGAAUUCCAGGUGUAGCGGUGAAAUGCGUAGAUAUCGGAGGAACACCGGUGGCGAAGGCGGCAUCCUGGACCGAUACUGACGCUGAGGAG